GUUUCAGCCGCCGCGGUAAUACGGAGGGUGCAAACGUUGCUCGGAAUCAUUGGGCGUAAAGCGCGUGUAGGCGGCUUGUUAAGUUGAGUGUGAAAGCCCUGGGCUUAACCCAGGAAGUGCGCUCAAAACUGGCGAGCUAGAGUACGGGAGAGGGUAGUGGAAUUCCCGGUGUAGAGGUGAAAUUCGUAGAUAUCGGGAGGAACACCAGUGGCGAAGGCGGCUACCUGGACCGAUACUGACGCUGAGACGCGAAAGCGUGGGUAGCAAACAGGAUUAGAAACCCCGGUAGUCC
rnacentral:rRNA from 1 species